AGAGCUCAAGAGCUCUGGGCCGUGAGCAAGCCUCCGAUAUUCUGGUCCCCUGAACCCGCCUUUUAAAUGCUUAUUCUGUCUCUUUCUAACUCCUAUGUCUCCACCAGACUCAGGGUACCCACUGGGUGGUGUGGGGCUGGUUUCCCUAACAUUCCCCACCAAAUAAAGCAGCUCCAACCUUCUAGAUGGUUGCUCAGCUCAGAAGUCUUAGAGAAAUUCUGAUGCCUCUCCUCACAUUUGCUCUGUCGGCAAAUCCUGGUGUCACAAGAGGGCUCAGGAGGGUUUCUGGAUGCCAACGAGACCCCAGCCACAGCCGGUCCCCAGAUUCUUGACAUCAUCACAAGAAAGAAUUCACAGGUGAGUCAGAAUGAAGUGAAAUGCAAGAAGCUUUUAUUGGAAAGCAAAAGUCUGCACUUAAGAGAGAAGUGGGUGCAUGCUCGUGAGAACGAGUCACGCAAACAGAGUUUGGGUUUCUAAUUUUAUUUGGUGUUUCUUUAAUUAGGGGGUGGAAUAAUCAUUAGGUAUUCUGGAAAAGGAGGGGACUUCAGGGACCCCUGAAAUUGCCCAUGCUAGAGUGUUGUGGCACAAUCCUAGCUCACUGCAACCUUGACCUCCUGGCCUUAAGUGAUCCUCCUGCCUCAGCCUCCUGAGUAGCUGGGACUACAGACGUGCACCACUAUGCCUGGCUAACUUCUAAAAAUUUUUAGUAGAGACAGGGUCUCAUUAUGUUGCCUAGGCUGGUCUUGAACUCCUGGCCUCAAGUGAUCCUCCCACCUUGGUGGGAGCCUGCAAUUACAGGCAUGAGCCACCACACCCGGCUUCUGCUUUAUUAUUUUCCAAAGCACUCGUCCCUGCCUGACACAUUAUAGAUGCAUGUGUGUCUUGUCUCUACAAUGUGGGCUCCCAGAGGGCAGGGACUUUGCUCUGUUCUGUUGUCUGUUGUUGAAUCCCCAGUGCCUAGGAUGGUGCCUGGCACAUAGUAGGUAUUCAAUAUCUAUUGAAUGAAUAUGGUCCCUGGGGCUAAAAGUAAGAAAGGAGAAAAAAAUAAAGCAACCCCCAAAUUUGAUGAGAACCCUAUAGUCCCUGACUGAUUGUUUCCUGGCCAUCAUCAUCAUCAGCUUCAACUUUGUCAACACACCCUUAAUAUGGGUGUACCUUGUUUUACAGUUUGCCGAGCACUUUCACACCCAUUAUUGGAUAUGACACACAACCCGGUGAGAGUGCUCUCAGUGGAGUUAAGAUUCAUACUUUUCCCAGACAUGGUGGAUUGCCCCUGUAAUCCCAACAACUUGGGAGGCUGAAGUGAGAGGAUUGCUUAAGGCCAGAAGUUUGAGACCAGCCUGGGCAACAUACUGAGACCUCAUCUCUAAAACAAAUAAAUUAGCCAGGCAUGGUGGCACAUGCCUGUAGCCCCAGCAACUCAGAUCACUUGAGCCCAGGAGUUAGAGACUGCAGGGAGCUAUGGUCACACAACUGCACUCCAGCCUAUGCAAUAGAGUGAGACCCUGUCUCUAAAACAAAACAAAAAAAUUCAUACUCUCC
rnacentral:lncRNA from 10 species